rnacentral:rRNA from 1 species
UGCCAGCAGCCGCGGUAAUACGGGGGGGGCGAGCGUUAUUCGGAAUGACUGGGCGUAAAGAGUUCGUAGGCGGUUUCUUAAGUUGAUUUUAAAAAUUUAGAGCAUAACUCUAAAAAUGGAUCAAAACUGAGAAACUUGAGUUUGGUAGAGGAUAGUGGAAUUCCUAGUGGAAGGAUAAAAUCUCUAGAGAUUAGGAGGAACAUCAGAGGCGAAGGCGACUAUCUGGACCAAAACUGACGCUAAAGAACGAAAGUAUGGGUAUCAAGUGGGAUUAGAUA